ACGAACGCUGGCGGCGUGCUUAACACAUGCCAGUCGAACGGAAAGGCCCUGCUUUUGUGGUGUGCUCGAGUGGCGAACGGGUGAGUAACACGUGAGUAACCUGCCCUUGACUUUGGGAUAACUUCAGGAAACUGGGGCUAAUACCGGAUAGGAGCUCCUGCUGCAUGGUGGGGGUUGGAAAGUUUCGGCGGUUGGGGAUGGACUCGCGGCUUAUCAGCUUGUUGGUGGGGUAGUGGCUUACCAAGGCUUUGACGGGUAGCCGGCCUGAGAGGGUGACCGGCCACAUUGGGACUGAGAUACGGCCCAGACUCCUACGGGAGGCAGCAGUGGGGAAUAUUGCACAAUGGGCGGAAGCCUGAUGCAGCAACGCCGCGUGCGGGAUGACGGCCUUCGGGUUGUAAACCGCUUUCGCCUGUGACGAAGCGUGAGUGACGGUAAUGGGUAAAGAAGCACCGGCUAACUACGUG
rnacentral:rRNA from 1 species